UCNCCAACUACACUUGGAAAUUCAGGCAAG
rnacentral:piRNA from 1 species